GGGGAUAGAGCUCAGUUGGUAGAGUGCCUACCUCACAUGUACAAGGCCCUGGGUUCAAUUCCCAGGAUCGCUC
rnacentral:tRNA from 1 species